GGGAAAAUAAUGAUAUUACCUUACUAAUAGUGUCGUCCAAAACUGGUGCCAGAAGACUCGGUAAGGCCAGAGACGCAAACGUUAGUCGUCCUAAUCAGGCGUAAAGGGUUUGUAGGCUGCUUUUAAAGCUAGAAUCAAAUAGAGGAUAUAUUAAAUAAUAUUUAGUGUAGGGCUGAUAUCCUUAAAUACUAAAGGGAAUAUUAAAGGCGAAAGCUUUUUUCCAUUAAUGAUUGACGCUGAGAAACGAAGGUGAGGAUAGGAAAUAGGAUUAGAUACCCAGAAUACCCCUCUCUGUCAACGAUGAAUGGUGGUUACUAGUAUUGGUGGCGAUGUUACACGAUAACCAUUCCGCCUUGUGAGUACGACUGCAAAGUUGAAACAAAAAAAUUAGUCGG
rnacentral:rRNA from 1 species